rnacentral:lncRNA from 1 species
AUCAAGAUAUGUCCAAACUUGUUAUGGCUAUUGCAAGAAAACUGAAAAGAUAAAUUAAAACUUCCAUCCAGUGCUAAUGAAUGUACUGCCUGAAGCCUCUUACAUUUUUCUUAAGCUAAAAUAAUGUUGGUUUUCCUCAAAGGACCAGAGUAAAAUGCAUUUAGUGCCAGGUACAACUGUGAUCUUCACUGAAUAAAAAUUACACUUAUGUGUUCAUGCUUUGUUUCUUCUCUCACGUGUACCCUUACUGAACUACUAUACCUGCUACAGAGAGAAGACAUGCUGUGGUUAUCUGAGCAAUUUAUGUUCUGGGACAUCACCAGUGAACCAGAAAACUGAAGAUAAAAGAGAAGGAAAACCAGAUGUGGAUGAGUGUGUGUUGUAUAUGCAUAAACAGACAUCAAAAUGAAGAUUGCAGCUUCAAAACAUUACUGCUGAGAAUACUUACACACUGCAAGAGCAACCUAGAAAAACUUAAUAACAGAAACAGUGAAAUUGCCCUGAAGAUUAGACAUCCACAAGAAAGCUGUAUAAGUCAACCUAAACAACAGCCAGUAAAACUUGGUAAUGAAUUAUAUGGCUCUGUCUUCUGUGUGUCACUUAUUUUAAUGAGCUCAUAUUUUGGACAUCUGUUAAAGAACUCAAAAUAUACUUUAUACUAUUUCAUUCUCUGUGCCUCUUGUGUAAAGCCCAUAUGAACAGUCUUCAUAAAUAGAAAAACACAUACAGCUGACCCAUAGGUCAUCUCCUACAUCACCCAUCUCCUACUUUCCAGAUCACAUGCCAGUCAAUAGUGUAUCUACUGUGUUUCAGAACUAGCAUUGAGAUCACAAAGAUCAUCAAGGAGAGAGAGAGAUGCAAAGAAAACAGAUAAGAACCAGACAAGAAUACAACAAAUUCCAAAUGCUAAAAGUAGUGGUCUGAUGAAUCUGAAAUCUGUAAUAAACCAAAGGCCAACUACUGCA